rnacentral:rRNA from 1 species
UACGGGGGGGGUAAGCGUUGUUCGGAAUUACUGGGCGUAAAGGGCUCGUAGGCGGCCAACUAAGUCAUACGUGAAAUCCCCAGGCUCAACCUGGGAACUGCGUCUGAUACUGGAUGGCUUGAAUCCGGGAGAGGGAUGCAGAAUUCCAGGUGUAGCGGUGAAAUGCGUAGAUAUCUGGAGGAAUACCGGUGGCGAAGGCGGCAUCCUGGACCGGCAUUGACGCUGAGGAGCGAAAGCCAGGGGAGCAAACGGG